GCCACUGAGAGGAACCGAAAAUCAAAUGGAGAAACUUCUGAAGAGCAUGAGGAAGAACUACUGAGAGGAACUGAAAGUCAAAAGGAAAAACUCCUGAUAAGCAUGAGGAAGAACUACAUAGAGGAACCAGAAAACAAAGUGAGAAACUCCUGAACAAUAUGAGGAAGAACCACUGAGAGGAACCAGAAAUCAAAGUGAGAAACUUCUGAAGAGCAUGAGGAAGAACCACUGAGAGGAACCGAAAAUCAAAAGGAGAAACUUCUGAAGAGCAUGAGGAAGAACUACUAAAAGACAGACCUGAAAUGCGUCGCCCCUCCGAUAUGAUAAUGUGUUUUGAAUGUGGUGGUUAAGUUACAGUGACAGAAUGUGCCUUUAUUGAGGAGGACAGAGGCCCCGUUGACUGGCAGGACCAACGCAGAGCCGUCCACCUCAACGCCUGACAAAAAUGUUUCCAUGUCCACCCUGCUGAGAGGUGAGGACGUGAGGCUCCAUUGGGUGGACACAGCAGGCCAAGACUCUCUCCAUCACACCAUCCUGCGAGACAUUGAGUACACACUCAUGGAUGGCUAUGGCAUCGCUGGGGCUCAAACUCACAACCUCCUGUUGGGUAGACGGCUCAGUCCACUGCC